rnacentral:rRNA from 1 species
UACGUAGGUGGCAAGCGUUGUCCGGAAUUACUGGGCGUAAAGUGUGCGCAGGCGGCCGCGCAAGUCGAGUGUGAAAGCCCCGGGCUUAACUUGGGAAUUGCGCUCGAAACUACGUGGCUGGAGUGUGGCAGAGGAAGGUGGAAUUCCACGUGUAGCGGUGAAAUGCGUAGAGAUGUGGAGGAACACCGAUGGCGAAGGCAGCCUUCUGGGCCAACACUGACGCUCAUGCACGAAAGCGUGGGGAGCAAACAGG